UGCAGUCGAACGAACUUAACCAUUAGUUUACUAUUGGAGCGGUUAGUGGCGGACUGGUGAGUAACACGUAAGCAACCUGCCUAUCAGAGGGGAACAACAGUUAGAAAUGACUGCUAAUACCGCAUAUGCCUUAGAAUCACAUGGUUCAAAAGGGAAAGGAGCAAUCCGCUGAUAGAUGGGCUUGCGUCUGAUUAGCUAGUUGGUGGGGUAAUGGCCUACCAAGGCGACGAUCUGUAGCCGAACUGAGAGGUUGAACGGCCACAUUGGGACUGAGAUACGGCCCAGACUCCUACGGGAGGCAGCAGUCGGGAAUAUUGCGCAAUGGAGGAAACUCUGACGCAGUGACGCCGCGUGCAGGAAGAAGGUUUUCGGAUUGUAAACUGCUUUAGACAGGGAAGAACAAAGACAGUACCUGUAGAAUAAGCUCCGGCUAACUACGUGCCAGCAGCCGCGGUAAUACGUAGGGAGCGAGCGUUAUCCGGAUUUAUUGGGUGUAAAGGGUGCGUAGACGGGAAGUCAAGUUAGUUGUGAAAUCCCUCGGCUUAACUGAGGAACUGCAACUAAAACUGAUUUUCUUGAGUACUGGAGAGGAAAGUGGAAUUCCUAGUGUAGCGGUGAAAUGCGUAGAUAUUAGGAGGAACACCGGUGGCGAAGGCGACUUUCUGGACAGAAACUGACGUUGAGGCACGAAAGUGUGGGGAGCAAACAGGAUUAGAUACCCUGGUAGUCCACACCGUAAACGAUGGAUACUAGGUGUAGGGGAUAUUAAAAUUCUCUGUGCCGCCGCUAACGCAAUAAGUAUCCCACCUGGGGAGUACGGCCGCAAGGUUGAAACUC
rnacentral:rRNA from 1 species